rnacentral:rRNA from 1 species
UACGUAGGGUGCAAGCGUUGUCCGGAAUUAUUGGGCGUAAAGAGCUCGUAGGCGGUCUGUCGCGUCUGCUGUGAAAACUCGGGGCUUAACCCCGGGCCUGCAGUGGGUACGGGCAGACUAGAGUGCGGUAGGGGAGACUGGAAUUCCUGGUGUAGCGGUGAAAUGCGCAGAUAUCAGGAGGAACACCGGUGGCGAAGGCGGGUCGCUGGGCAGAUAAUGACGCUGAGGAGCGAA